rnacentral:misc_RNA from 1 species
AAGACAUACAGAUCCAUGAAUGUCAAAGUCAUUAGCACACGACUUUCAGGUAUCUCGUCAGCCAUUACCUUGCACAGUAUUUCCUAGUAUCCCGUUAGAAUCAAAAGAGGAACACUAUUACUAUCAGUGGAAGCUAGUGCUGUUUAACGGAAAUUUCUCUUCAUAUUUAUACGACAAACAAUGCAAUUAAUCAAUCCCUGCAAUAGCUUCGG